CCAGAACCUGGGAUCAUGACCUGAGCUGAAGGCAGAUGCUUAACUGACUGAGCCACCCAGGUGCCCCAAGCAGAGGGAUUUAAUAUACAGACUAGGUUACAUGGAUGAUGUAAGAACUUAGAAGGUAAAUGGCCUGGUGAGGCAACCCAGAGGUUAGCAACACCUGGGAGCUAGUGUGCUUUUAAGGAAAUUAGAAGGUGUUGAUGUCACCAAAGGCUAGAAGUCUGAGCUAUCUGGUACGAGCUAGAAGCAUGGAAAGAAAAGCUGUUUGGUGGCAGCAGGAGCUGUGACUCUAUUAAGAGAGCAUUACCCUGGCUUCCCUUCUCCUCCUCCUCCUCUAUCUUACCCUUAUCUGUUACCUCCUGUUGAUGGAACUUACCCAAAAAUUGGUUGGCAAGAGAGCCUGGGAGCUGUAGCUCCCACUGAUGGAAUGGAACAAGGUAGGAUCCAAGUGGAGACAGGCUGAGGCACAAAGGCACUUAAAAAAAUCUCCCAAGAUGUAAUUCUUCUUCCUUGUAGGUAAAUAGUUGAGUUAUUUUGAAUGAGAGAUAAGGGUUUUUAGGCAGAUACAACCUUUGUGCUUCUAAGGAAUCUUAACUGUUGCUGAAGUAAUAAUUAGUCCGAGGAAGUAAUGUAACGACUCAGUCAUUGCCUAAAUAAUUAGGAUGUGUGUCUAGGAAAAUUGGCUUCUGUUGAAUCUUCCAGGAGCAGUUUAUCAAUUUGGUUACUCAGGAAACAAGUUUCCCACCCUGUUGAUCCUGGGAUGCCUUGGGCAUGAUUGUGUGUGUGUGUGUGUGUGUGUGUGUACACGUGUACAUAUGUGUAUGUACACACAUACACUGAGCUUGUCCCAUCUACAACUGAAAGACUUGAAUCAACACGUAAUAUGUACAAAGAGAGUUUUGAGGAUGGUAGCCUCAUGGUACAGAUUAGACUUGCCUUGACAGUUACAGAAAUUAUAGUAGAGCUAAUUUUUCUUAUGCCACAUAUCAUUUUAACUGGUCUUAUUGGUUUGUCUGGGGUUUUUCCCCCAUGGCUUCAGAGAGGUUAGCACUAGGGGAGGGAGUUGAGACCACUGAUAACUUUCUUCUGGACCUGAAAAGUAUUUUUUGUUUUAUAAGGAAGGUUGCUGCUGCUCCAUUUAAAGGCCAAGCUUCCCAAGUUAUUGCUGGUAGUUUUCUUUUUCAUUAUAAAGUGUUUAAUGAGUUACAUGAUAGAAGUUUGGCACUUUCUCGAAGGGCAUUCUUUUUGUCAAUCAGGUCACCUGCCUUUGGGCCCCUGCUACAUUAAUGGAAUUGGUGGAACUAGGCCAGCGAAGGUUUUCAGUGGAGUGUAUAAUUCACAGAUAUAAUUAAAAAGUAAUUUGGUUCUAAAAAACAUAUCAGACUGUUUCCCAGAGUACCAGUUCUUUUCAGCCAGUUCAUUUCAAUUUAAGAGGUACAUCUGCAUUUUUGAAGCUUCAUGUUUAAUAAUUACAACAUUUUGCUACUGUAUUUGACUCUUCCGUUUUCCAAACUUUCUCCUUCCCUACCCCACUUUUCUGGCUCCUGUAUUUCCCCACAGGCGUUGUGGAUGCUGGUCCAUUGAUGGCUGAACUGCAGGCCACUUCCCAGUGGAAAACCCCAGAGAUGAGCCAAAUCUGCCUUCAGCUGUGGCCAUCCAUCAGUAAUUUCCUGUGUGAGCCGGUAACAUCUUAGGCUGCAUUCUGAAGCUCAGAGAGGAGAGGGUGCUGUCUUCUUCUUAUGGAUACUUUACCACUUGGGUCAUAACCAGCACAAGCCCUUCAGUGAGAAAUAGGAAGGAAAUCCCCUGUUCUUACCAUGAUGCUUUUAUUCAAAAUAGCAAUAAACAGCACAGUUAACGGAAACAAAUUUAAGUGUGACAGCUGAUUGAGAAGGAAAAAGUGAAAAGAUUCAGGCACUUCUGCUAUGUUGAAAACAUAUUUGUUGAAAGAACAGCUAUUUGGAACCGGAGACCCUGUCUCUCUGAAGAACAAGAGAAGAGACUCUUCACAGAAUUGGUAGUUCUUCAUCUCACACGCUUCAAACUAAAUGGCCUAGGAAUGAUGCUUGUAGAG